UACGUAGGCAGCAAGCGUUGUUCGGAGUUACUGGGCGUAAAGAGCGCGCAGGCGGUCGUUCAAGUCGAGUGUGAAAGCCCCCGGCUCAACUGGGGAGGGUCACUCGAUACUGAUCGACUCGAAGGCAGGAGAGGGAAGUGGAAUUCCCGGUGUAGUGGUGAAAUGCGUAGAUAUCGGGAGGAACACCAGUGGCGAAGGCGACUUCCUGGCCUGUUCUUGACGCUGAGGCGCGAAAGCUAGGGGAGCAAACGGG
rnacentral:rRNA from 1 species